rnacentral:rRNA from 1 species
AUUGAACGCUGGCGGCAGGCCUAACACAUGCAAGUCGAGCGGAGCGGCGGACGGGUGAGUAAUGCUCAGGAAUCUGCAUGGUCGUGGGGGAUAACGUCCGGAACUGGGAGCUAAUACAGCUUACUAUCAGACUAGCCUAGGUCGGGUUAGCCAGCUGGUGGGGUAAAGGCAUCCAAAGGCGACGAUCCGUAACAGGGCUGAGAGUAUGAUAAGUCACACUGGGACUGAUACACUGUCAUGACUCCUACGGUAGGCAGCAGUGGGGAAUAUUGGACAAUGGGCGAAAGCCUGAUCCAGCCAUGCCGCGUGUGUGAAGAAGGUCUUCGGUUUGUAAAGCACUGUAAGUUGGGAGGCGUUACCAGCAGAAUAAGCACCGGCUAACUUCGUGCCAGCAGCCGCGGUAAUAC